AGUGAACGCUAGUGGCGUGCUUAACACAUGCAAGUCGAACGGACGAUAUUUGUGCUUGCACAAAUAAAGUUAGUGGCAAACGGGUGAGUAAUACAUGAGAAUUUUCCUUGCAGUACGGAAUAACUAUUGGAAACAGUAGCUAAUACCGUAUAUUGCCGAGAGGUGAAAGAUUUAUCGCUGCAAGAUAAGCCCAUGCAAGAUUAGCUUGUUGGUAAGGUAACGGCUUACCAAGGCAACGAUCAGUAGGGGGUCUGAGAGGAUGAUCCCCCACACUGGUACUGAGACACGGACCAGACGUCUACGGACGGCAGCAGUAAGGAAUAUUGGGCAAUGGGCGCAAGCCUGACCCAGCCAUGCCGCGUGCAGGAUGACGACCCUAUGGGUUGUAAACUGCUUUUAUAUAGGAAGAAAAUACUCUUGCGAGAGGAUCUGACGGUACUAUAUGAAUAAGGACCGGCUAACUCCGUGCCAGCCGCCGCAGUAAGAC
rnacentral:rRNA from 1 species